rnacentral:lncRNA from 10 species
UUUGAAAUAAACUUAAGAAUGGAACUUAUGGAUCAUAAGGUAUGUGUAUGCUCAGAUUUACUAGAUACUGCCAAAGAUAUUCUUUCCAAAGAUAAAUUAACAUCCAAUGGUGCCAUUUUUGGAUAUCUCAGGCAAUAUUCCUUAGUGUUAGAUAGUACAUGGCACAAUCAGAGCCAACAUUCUUAGUUUUGUUGCAUAUAAAAUGAGCAUAAUAACAUCUGCUUAGCUGAUCUCACAGGGCUACUGCAAGAAUCAAAUGCAAAAAUAGGCCGGGCGCGAUGGCUCACGCCUGUAAUCCCAGCACUUUGGGAGGCCAAAGCGGUCAGAUCACCUGAGGCCAGGAGUUCAAGACCAGCCUGGCCAACAUGGCGAAACCCCAUCUCUACUAAAAAUACAAACAAAACAAAACAACAAAAAAAUUAGCCAGGCGCGGUGGCACGCGCCUGUAGUCCCAGCUACUUGGGAGACUGAGGCAGGAGAAUCACUUGAACCUGGGUGGCGGACGCUGCAGUGAGCCAAGAUCGCGCCACUGCACUCCAGCCUGGGCGACAGAGCGAGACUCUGUCUCAAAGAAAAAAAAAAAAAGAAAGAAAGAAAGAAAGAAAAAGAAUAUAAUAGUCCAUCCUCCCAGGCUUCAAGGAGCCAUGCCUGGAGGGAGAAUGGAGUGAGGAAGCACAGUCUUCACCAGGCUGUUGACACCCAUUGUCAUUUCCAGAAACUUCUAGUGCUGGGUUAGGCAUUUGUGAAAAUAUUAUUUAAUUUACUUAUUUCAUCAUCCCAGAAGGAAAGGUGUUAUUAACCUCCUUUUACAUUUAAGGCAACUGAAACUUAGAGACCUGCCACAGAGUUCAUACGUAGCAGAGAGGUUUUGAAAUCAGGUGUCCUUAAUUCUUUAACUCAUUGUUUAUACCAGAGAACAGAAAAAUGAUCGUAAUUCCUGUGUACGCUUGUUCAUGAGAGCAACAUUUUUACAGAUCACACUUACAAUCUUUUGACUUCAAACUGAGAUUUGCAGUUUAGAAAUGUUUCCAUAUACACUAUCUGAUUGACCCUCUGCAUGAUAACCACGUGAGGUAAGUAGUACAGCUGUUAUUGUCUUACUUUAUAGAUAAGGAAAAUAAUGAUAAGACCUUGUGAUUUGUCCAAGCUUACAUGGAAUUUGGUAUUCACUAUUUAUAUUAGAUGGUGGUGUUUUCUAAAGCCAACAGAGAAAGUAGCAGGAAAAGUCUAUUACACAUAAGCAAAAUGGUUGUGCAAUACUUUGGAUUAGAAUAAGACUAUUUCUGGACUUUGGCACAAAGUGAUGCCAUCAUAUUAUUGUGCAGUUUUUCCUUUUUUUCCUGCUUUGAUAUGAAGCAAGAGAGACGUGGGAGUAGGGGAAAGCAAAUAAAGCAGGCAUUUAUCUGACAAGAAAAGCUAGGAAGAUUUAACAAAGUUAUCCUUCUUCUUAGUUGACAGACAAGUAUUUCCCAAGAGAGCUCCAUAAUUGAGCAGACGAUGCAUUUGAUGGAUUUGUGUAUUGUGGUGUAAGUGAAAGCUGGUGGGCUUUCAGAUAGGUAGAUAAAUAGGCUUUCAGUUAGAUCACCAUUACAAUCUCAGUUCAGGUGUGUGACCUUGGAGGAGCUAUAGAAAUUAUAAAAAUGCUAGAAGAAAACCUCGGGAUGACUCUCCAGGAUAAUGCUCUGGGAAAAGAUUUUAUUCCCCAAAAGCACAGGAAACAAAACCCAGAAAUAGACAAAUGAGACUGGAUUAAACUAAAGAGUUUCUGUGAGGCAAGGGAAACAAUCAACAGAGUGAAGAAACAACCCAC